UAAUCCUACUAUAUUAUUUGGGAAGUACAUUUUAAAUAUAACCUUAUUUUUUGUAAGUAAUUACAUAGGUAUGCCAUUAGAAAUAAAAUUUAAAGAGUAAAUUAAUUCAUCUCUUUAAAAAUUAAAGUCAAAUACUAAUUUAAUUAAUUAAAUUUAAUUAAAAAACGAAAUACAUUAUUAAUUUCCAAAAAAGUAACCAAUUAAAAUCAACAAAUUAGAUUUGAUAUCUAAAUUAUCAUAUUAAUUUUUUAUUAAUUAUUAUAGUUCACCUCUCAUCUUUAUAUGAUUCUAUUUUUGCGAAAAAAUAAUAUCAUCGUUAUAAAAAAUAAUUAGAGUUUUUUCGCAUAUGCCAUAAUUUGAAUUUUUAAAAACGAAUAUAAACUGUUCAAUACAUGAAAAAAUAUUAUAACGGGUCAAAAAUAGAUUUAAAAAAAAAUU
rnacentral:sRNA from 1 species